rnacentral:rRNA from 1 species
GACAGAGGGGGCAAGCGUUGCUCGGAAUCACUGGGCGUAAAGGGUGCGUAGGCGGGUCUUUAAGUCAGGGGUGAAAUCCUGGAGCUCAACUCCAGAACUGCCUUUGAUACUGAAGAUCUUGAGUGCGGGAGAGGUGAGUGGAACUGCGAGUGUAGAGGUGAAAUUCGUAGAUAUUCGCAAGAACACCAGUGGCGAAGGCGGCUCACUGGCCCGAUACUGACGCUGAGGCACGAAAGCGUGGGGAGCAAACAGGG